CAGGAUGAACGCUGGCGGUCUGCUUAACACAUGCAAGUCGAACGGAAUCCUUAGGGAUUUAGUGGCGGACGGGUGAGUAACACGUAAGAACCUGCCUCUAGGACGGGGACAACAGUUGGAAACGACUGCUAAACCCGGAUGAGCCGAAAGGUAAAAGAUUAAUCGCCUAGAGAGGGGCUUGCGUCUGAUUAGCUAGUUGGURAGGUAAGAGCYYACCAAGGCGACGAUCAGUAGCUGGUCUGAGAGGAUGAUCAGCCACACUGGGACUGAGACACGGCCCAGACUCCUACGGGAGGCAGCAGUGGGGAAUUUUCCGCAAUGGGCGAAAGCCUGACGGAGCAAGACCGCGUGGGGGAGGAAGGUUCUUGGAUUGUCAACCCCUUUUCUCAGGGAAGAACACAAUGACGGUACCUGAGGAAAAAGCAUCGGCUAACUCCGUGCCAGCAGCCGCGGUAAUACGGGGGAUGCAAGCGUUAUCCGGAAUGAUUGGGCGUAAAGAGUCCGUAGGUAGUCAUCCAAGUCUGCUGUUAAAGAGCGAGGCUUAACCUCGUAAAGGCAGUGGAAACUGGAAGACUAGAGUGUAGUAGGGGCAGAGGGAAUUCCUGGUGUAGCGGUGAAAUGCGUAGAGAUCAGGAAGAACACCGGUGGCGAAGGCGCUCUGCUGGGCUAUAACUGACACUGAGGGACGAAAGCUAGGGGAGCGAAUGGGAUUAGAUACCCCAGUAGUCCUAGCGGUAAACGAUGGAAACUAGGUGUGGCCUGUAUCGACCCGGGCCGUGCCGAAGCAAACGCGUUAAGUUUCCCGCCUGGGGAGUACGCACGCAAGUGUGAAACUCAAAGGAAUUGACGGGGGCCCGCACAAGCGGUGGAGUAUGUGGUUUAAUUCGAUGCAACGCGAAGAACCUUACCAGGACUUGACAUCUCUGGAAUCUCCUUGAAAGGGGAGAGUGCCGUAAGGAACCAGAAGACAGGUGCUGCAUGGCUGUCGUCAGCUCGUGUCGUGAGAUGUUGGGUUAAGUCCCGCAACGAGCGCAACCCUCGUCGUUAGUUGCCAUCAUUAAGUUGGGAACUCUAGCGAGACUGCCGGUGACAAACCGGAGGAAGGUGAGGAUGACGUCAAGUCAGCAUGGCCCUUACGUCCUGGGCGACACACGUACUACAAUGCGAGGGACAGAGAGCAGCCAACCCGCGAGGGAGAGCGAAUCUCAUAAACCCUGGCACAGUUCAGAUUGCAGGCUGCAACUCGCCUGCAUGAAGGAGGAAUCGCUAGUAAUCGCAGGUCAGCAUACUGCGGUGAAUCCGUUCCCGGGCCUUGUACACACCGCCCGUCACACCAUGGAAGUGAGCCACGCCCGAAGUCAUUACUCUAACCCGAAAGGGAGGAGGGUGCCGAAGGCGGGGUUGAUGACUGGGGUGAAGUCGUAACAAGGUAGCCGUACCGGAAGG
rnacentral:rRNA from 1 species